rnacentral:rRNA from 1 species
UACGUAGGGACCAAGCGUUGUUCGGAUUUACUGGGCGUAAAGGGCGCGUAGGCGGCGUGUUAAGUCACUUGUGAAAUCUCUAAGCUUAACUUAGAACGGUCAAGUGAUACUGAUGUGCUAGAGUGCAGAAGGGGCAACCGGAAUUCUUGGUGUAGCGGUGAAAUGCGUAGAUAUCAAGAGGAACACCUGAGGUGAAGACGGGUUGCCGGGCUGACACUGACGCUGAGGCGCGAAAGCUAGGGUAGCAAACGGG